ensembl:lncRNA
UGUAUGAAUAUUUAUAACUUUCUCUCUUCGGUCUACUCUGACAGGGCAAAGCUGAAUGUUCGUCCCUAAACUGUAGUUUAUUAAUAUGAGCACUGACAGCAGAUUAUAUGAGGCUUACUCUGUUUCUUUAUUCAGUAAACGUGAAGGAGCUGUGAGAAACAGCAGAAUAAACCAAAGGGCUGUCCAUUCUGAUGGCCAUGAUGAGACAAACAAAGCUCUCAACCCCAGGAGCACAUCCUCUGAGUAUGACACUCUGCAGAACGUGAGGAAUGUGAGUGACACCUACAUGCCUCUCCAGAGAAGAGCUCAGGCCUCAGUGUAUGAGAAUCUGCAGAGAAGAAAGACAUCCCAGUCAGAGAUGUAGCUGAAGGAUCUCGGGAUGAGAUUCCAACACCAACCAUGACUUCGGGAUCUCAUACUGAGUGCUGCCACAGUCUUACGUUGUUAAGGGAUCUUAUUAUCAGUGAUAACUUUUCCCUCGUUUCCCAUGCUAGGGACAUUUAAGGUUUAUCCAUUGGUGUAGCUUUCUAUGACUGUCAUCAUCAUUUAGCACCAGUCAACCUCUAAUCUAAUCAACUUUCUUUUGCUUUGGGUAAUGUAUGCAUUGAGGAAGUUACAUGUCUGUGUAUUUUUCUUUUAACUUACACAGCCUUAGUUUACCCAUGUGACUUGGUUUAAAAUGUGGCUUAUCUGCAAUAAUUGUCAGGAGCUGUGAUGUCGCUGUUUCAAUUCAAUGUUUUGGAUGAUUCUUGGAUUUUCCUUAUAGAUGACAGAUCAUUUAAGAAUUUUUACAUUCAAGCCUUUAACAGGGCUUGAUUGCUGUGUAGAAACCUCACCUGAAAAAUGUAAAGCUAUAUUCUAACCCUCUCAUUACAGAUAAAUAAA